rnacentral:rRNA from 1 species
UACAGGGGGGGCAAGCGUUGUUCGGAAUUACUGGGCGUAAAGGGCCAGUAGGCGGCCAACUAAGUCCGACGUGAAAUCCCCAGGCUUAACCUGGGAACUGCGUCGGAUACUGGAUGGCUUGAAUUCGGGAGAGGGAUGCAGAAUUCCAGGUGUAGCGGUGAAAUGCGUAGAUAUCAGGAGGAACACCGAUGGCGAAGGCAGGUCUCUGGGCUGACACUGACGCUCAUGCACGAAAGCGUGGGGAGCAAACAGG